rnacentral:misc_RNA from 1 species
AACGCAUCUUGCACUCAAUGGUAUUCCAUUGAGUACGCCUGUUUCAGUAUCAAAAACAACCCUUAUUCAAAAUUCUUUUUUUGAAUAGAUAUGAGUGUAGCAACCUUACAAGUUGAGACAUUUUAAAUAAAGUCAGGCCAUAUCGUGGAUUGAGUGCCGAUACUUUUUUAAUUUUGAAAAGGUAAAGCAUGUUGAUGUCCGCUUUUUGGGCCUCCCAAAUAACUUUUUAAACUUGAUCUGAAAUCAGGUGGGAUUACCCGCUGAACUUAA